UACGUAGGGGGCAAGCGUUAUCCGGAUUUACUGGGUGUAAAGGGGGCGCAGACGGCGAUGCAAGCCAGGAGUGAAAGCCCGGGGCCCAACCCCGGGACUGCUCUUGGAACUGCGUGGCUGGAGUGCAGGAGGGGCAGGCGGAAUUCCUGGUGUAGCGGUGAAAUGCGUAGAUAUCAGGAGGAACACCGGUGGCGAAGGCGGUCUGCUGGACAGCAACUGACGCUGAGGCGCGAAAGCGUGGGGAGCAAACAGG
rnacentral:rRNA from 1 species